rnacentral:rRNA from 1 species
GGCGGCUCGAGUGGUGGCCACUAUUACUGGGCUUAAAGCGUUCGUAGCUGGUUUGUUAAGUCUCUGGGGAAAUCUACCGGCUUAACCGGUAGGCGUCUCAGGGAUACUGGCAGACUAGGGACCGGGAGAGGUGAGAGGUACUCCAGGGGUAGGAGUGAAAUCCUGUAAUCCUUGGGGGACCACCUGUGGCGAAGGCGUCUCACCAGAACGGCUCCGACAGUGAGGGACGAAAGCUGGGGGAGCAAACC